GAUGAACGCUGGCGGCGUGCCUAAUACAUGCAAGUCGAGCGAACGGACGAGAAGCUUGCUUCUCUGAUGUUAGCGGCGGACGGGUGAGUAACACGUGGAUAACCUACCUAUAAGACUGGGAUAACUUCGGGAAACCGGAGCUAAUACCGGAUGAUAUUUUGAACCGCAUGGUUCAAAAGUGAAAGACGGUCUUGCUGUCACUUAUAGAUGGAUCCGCGCUGCAUUAGCUAGUUGGUAAGGUAACGGCUUACCAAGGCAACGAUGCAUAGCCGACCUGAGAGGGUGAGCAGCCACAGUGGAACUGAGACACGGGCCAGAGUCCGACGGGAGGCAGCAGGGGGGAAGAUUGGACAAGGGGCGCAAGUCUGAAGCAGCUAUACCGCGGGGGGGAAGAAGGUCUUCGGGGUGGAAAACAGUUUUGUUGGGAAAGAAAAGAAGCAGGUGAAUACACCGCUGUUGGGACGGUACCAAAAGAGGAAGCACCGGCUAACUUCGUG
rnacentral:rRNA from 1 species